AGCAUCUGUGGGGAGAAAGCAUUUAAUGUUUCAAGUUCAGUGAACUGGUUGUUCAGUUUCUUCCUGCACUGUCCUCUGCUAUCUUUUAUUACCUCAGUAUUUUGCUUCCUGAUUGACCAAUGGCCUUUCUGUUGCUCAUCAAGCUUUCCAAUUCAUUUUUAUCUCCUCUAACUACAUUCACCACAAGGAGUCAGUUUUGUUUUUGUAGCCAUGGUAACCAAAAUGUUUUUCUUCUCAUUCAUUUACAGUCACAUCUAUUGUCCAAUAUAUUGCCUUCUCCUGCAGAUUUCCUUGCACCUUCGAUUCAGAAAUAUCUACUUUGCUACACACACAUGAGAAUAUCCCAUCCUCCAUUGUGUGUCUUGAUCUUGUCCAUCAUUUACCUCUAAUCCUUUGAGUCCUGCUGCAAUUGAAAAGAUCUGUAGGAGAUCCUAGUCCCUUUCUCUUUACAGUAAUUCUUGGACUCUGGCCUUAAAAGAACAAAAUGCGUACAAGAAACACAGUUAAAUGCAAAGUUGAAUUCAUUAGUUCAUUAAACCAACAAGAGCAAAGUACAAAGCCCUUUUUGAUUUGACUGAAACUUACAAUCAUCCACGUGGCCAGUUGUUACCAACGUUGAAUGUGGAGAUGAUCAGUUUCUGUCCUUUUCCACCGGAUGCUGCCACCAUGCUUUCAUAUCUUCCUUUUGUAUAGUGCCCAGUCUCACUAUCACACCCUGGGCCUCCGGCAUAGAUUUCUUUAACAGGCUGCUGGGUUUCCCAGUCUUUCUUACCUCUUUAUUCGGUCUUUCAGUCUCCUGAGAUAUGCAGAGCUGCAAAGUCAGAGACAAUUCAAGAACACUCCCCUGCUAUUUACUGUACACAGCAGAACAGCAGAAAGAUGAUCUAAUUUCCAGCACACUGAUAGGCACUUAGCUCAUUGUAUGUUCAGAAGUUAAUGCUCCUUCCAAAAGAACUGAUCAUGAUUCAGAAUUGCAGUUAACUUGUGGCAUUGUCCAGUUGUUAAUGUUAUCAAAGCCAAUCGCAUGGAAAGAUUCCAAUGAGUUAAUUCCGUCUGUGCAUCAAGGUUAAGAAAUAACUGAUGACAUUUAUACUGAAUGUUUGUAAUUGUAAUUAUUUGCAAUUAUUGUAGUAUAUUUACCUGAGCAAUACUUUGGGUUGUAUAGGAAUCUUGUACUGAUAUUUUACUUGAUGGUUCUGGCAGAAAAAUUCCUUUCUUAGAUUUUGACAUCUGUAUUUUUCAUUUUGCCUUCUUGCAGCACAGUGUUAGUGUCUGUAUCCUUGUACUGAGAGGCCUGGAUUCAAGCCCCACCUGCUCCAGAGUUAAUAACAUCUCAGGACACGUUGAUUAGGAAAUGGAUUACAUUUUUAAAAAUCCCAUUUUUGCACAUAGUCCAUAUCCCUCUAUCCCCUGCCUGUUCAAGUGUCUGUCUAAAUGUUGCUAUUAUAUCUGCUUCUACAACUCCCAAAAAGUAAUAUAUUAAAAGUCAGUGCAAAAUAUUAGGCCUGGAUAUUUAUCAUAUCUCUGACUGCAUAGAGUCUUAGAGAUGAUGAGAAUAAGAAUGACUAUGGAAGAUAUACUGUAGAUUAAGAGGUAAUGAAUGCAUGAUAUGUAUUGCUACACAAAUAAAAUUACAACACCCAGACUCCACUCAGCUACUGUAAAAGUUGUAAUAUUUAUUUUAAAGCAGGCAAAUUCACAAAAAAACUAAACCAUCAUGAGUUAAAACUAAAUUUGUUUUUAAAUAAAGCAACAAUUUAGCUAACAAUAUGAAGCCUGAUCUCAGAACUCAUCUAAUCCUGAGAAUUGGCUAACAUGCAACUUCAAUCGAGAAGUUGAUUAGGCAAGUGUGAAUGUUAGAUUUUUCAAAGUAAUCAAUAAUUGGCAUAAUUAGAAUUGAUAGUUGCAAAUAAUGUAGCUUGAAUCCAUCGCUGGAAUACCAAUUGCAUAUUAGCUUCAGAAAUCUAGGCAGUGGCACGGAACACUUAUUCGCCAAUUUGAUUUUAGCUGUGCACAAAUUGCUUUAGCUCUAUCCAGCUGAUUUAGACCUUUGCCUGGAGGUGCAAAAGAUUAAUUGGUAGCUACACAUUCAUUGCUUACAGAAUGGAGUCUGUAAUUGGGGAAAUUUGUUAAUACCAGUUAUAAAAUACCAAUAUAGUCCAGCUUUCUUGAUAACAUUUUAUUAGAAGAACCCUAAAAUCUCACAGCCAAACAACAUUGUCUUAAGUAUUAAAAUCCAUUAUUAUGACUUAUUCAUAUUUUUGUUAACAUUAAUUUUUUUUUAGUAUUUAUAAGGUGUGUUGUGAACAUGAAGUUUGUCAAUGACAGUUCAGCAUCAAGGCCUUUGUGGAUAUGUGCAGUGCCACAUUACUGAGCUGAUAAGUCCGGGAAGGUUUUACAUUGAUACCCAGAACUGGACAGCAAGGAAAGCUUUACUUCAACACCAUGAGUGCACAAUUUAUAGAUAUUGUGUCAUGACCACCAGAGUGUUCAAAGUAUCUUUAGAAGUGAAGUUGACCGGAUAAUUUGAGUGAGUCAUGGCCAACCUCAAGAUAUUUAUCACCAUGUGCUGGCCACAACAAAUUCUAUUUAUACUGCACAUUUAAGAGAUCACAUCAAGGAAAGAAUGAAAAAGACAAAGUAUCAAGAAAGCUUAAGAGGAAGAAUUCUCAUAAAAAAAACCUAGGUCCUCACAAUCAAGAUUGGUGAAUCGUGAAAACCCUACAGACACAAGCAUGUUACCAUUGCUAAAAAUUAAAAGGUCUAUGGAAGACAACUCAUUCUUGAAAUCUAGACAUUUAUUCUUUAAAACUUGCUUACCCCACCUAUAUUAUUUUUCAACUCAUUGUUUGUGGGUCAAAGGUGCCUGUCUUUUGUAUUCUUAAACAUGAAUGUGUGUGCGUGCAUAUUUGGGGUUUUUAAAGGAGAACAGUUUACUUUGCAUAGUAGUAGAUUAGAAAUCCUAUCUUUUCCCUGUUUUUUAAGUGUGUUACAAUAUAUCAAAUUAUAUUCUGUUCAUGACAAAACCUGGUGUGAAUUAUUUUUGCCCUGAAUAGUGGUCUGUUAGGCAAAUUGGUCAUCUUCAUAUCCUGAAUGGUAUUUUGUACAUUUUGGGAAAGUGCGGCAUAAUCAUUAGCACACAGUCCCCAGCUAAGUCAGAACAAUUGAUUGUAAGUAAUUGACGCUCCAACACUGAUCCCUGUGGUACACCACCUGUCACAUCCUGCUAAUGUGUGAACACGUUUUUAUAUACCCACACCCUGCUCCUUAUUAGUCAAUGAAAUCUGUAAACAGGUUAGUAUGUUACCCCUACCUCAUGACUCUUACACUGCGUGGCCCCUUAUUAAAUGCCUUCUGGGAAACUAAAUAUAAUAUAUCCUUGGUUCCACUUUAUCUUCAAAGAACUCUAAAUAAAUUAAUCAAACAUUAUUUCCUUUUCACAAAACCACAACUCUGCCUGAUUGCCUUAAGAUUUUCAAAGUGGCUUGGUGUAAAAAUUCCAGCAGAUGCUAGGUCAACUGCCCUGUUGAUCGCUGCUUCCUCUCGCUUUUUCUUGAAUCACAGAUAUUGGUGCAUUGUGUCUACUCUGGUUGUCCACUGAGCACUAUGACUUAGUGCCCUUCUUCUAUUUGUUAAAUAGAGACAUGUAUCUAUUUAAAUACUCAUCUGAAUGCUUCAAUUGACUCUACCUUCACACAACAGACACUACUUGUGUGUAAUAGACUUUUUCACACCGCAUUUGCCUUGUUUGUAAAUAAAAGAAUCCCAGUUGCUAUUUUCCAAUCUGAUGGGACCAUUCCAGAAUUAAGGGAGCUUUGGAACUGUAAAACCAGUCAAGUACAACAUCAGCAGCCACUUCUUUUAAGGUGCGAGGAUGAAGUCUAUCACAGCAAGUGGACUUGUUAGAUUUAAACAACUUCUUCUGAAGUUCUUCUUUGCUGAUUGUAGUUAUUUUGCAUUCUUCAUUACCUUUCACAUUCUGAUUCACAUUUAUUUCUGGUGUUAUUUGUGUCCUCUAUAAUGAAGUAGACAUGCAAUAUUUGUUUAAUGCAUUUGCAAUUCUCCGAUUUUCCAAUAGUAAUUUCUCAGACUCACUCUCCGGAGGAGCAGCACCAACUUUUGUUGCUCUUUUCAAUUUUGCAAUACCUGUUGAAGCACUUACUAUCUGUUUUUAUAUUUCUUGUUAGCUUUCCACAAUACUCAAAUUUCACUUUUCUCAUUAAUCGUUUUGUUACUCUUUUAUGCUCUUUAUAUUCUAUUCAAACAACUGACUUACAUCUCCUCUUUGUGGAAUUAUGUUAGUUUUCUUUCAAUUUGACAUUAUCUUUAACUUCCUUAGUCAGAGAAGGUACAUCCUACUCUAUGCAAAGGAACCUCAAGUACCCAAAGGACACAGGCGGGGAGUAUUUUGUUUGGUUAAUUGAAUUCCGGAUAUUUGAAUGCCACAUAACAUAGUUUAACCAACCAUCCGGACCUUGCGAUCUUGCAGGAUAAUCCGAUAUUUGGAUAAUCGAAUGCCGGAUAAUCGAGGUUCCUCUGUAAUCUUUUUCUUUGAAAUAUAUAGUCUUGAGUAUUCUAAAAUGUUGCCUCAAAUGUGUGCCUCCAUGUUUGCAUGACCCCAUCCCGUAACCUGGCUUCUCAGUUCACUUUAGCCAGUUAUGUUAUCAUAACCUUAGAAUUGCCCUUAUUUAAAAUUAAAACGCUAGUCUUAGAUCCACUCUUCUUUCCCUCAAACUGACUGCAAAGUUCCAUCAUGCUAUGAUCAUUGUGACCUUGGGGUGCCUUCACAAUGUGGAUAUUAAUUAAACCAAUUUCAUUGCACAUCACAAAAUCUAGUCUACUCUUCCAAUCUUAUUUAUCCUAUAUACAUGCAUAAAAGCACCCAUGGUGAUCAGAUUUCCUUUCUCACAUUUCUUUUUGUACACCUUUCCUUACAAUAUGAUUGCUGUUAGGUGGCUGAUAAACCACUCCCACAAGCGAUAGCUUACCUUUACUAGCUUCUUAAAUGUCAUGUUCCCUUGAAUAUUCAGGUUCCAGUCUUAUUCAUCUUGCAACCAUGUCUCUGUAAUGACUAUCAAUUAAUUCUUUUUAUUGUAAUUGGCACUGUCAAUUCAUUUAUUUUAUGAUUAAAAACUA